GAAAUUUUCAUUAGAUUCACGACGUUCAGAAGUUACACAACCCAAAUCUUCCAAAUUUUUUAUGUUUGUCGAAAUUGUUAAGUUCUUUUAGUUUUAUUUAGUUUUUAGUUUGUUUUUUGUGUGAGAUAAUCAUGGCAGAACUCAAAACUUUUAGUCUUUUAGCGAAUGUUUGCAAGUGUUUUCAUGUAAGGGGAAAUGCGUUUAGUUGCUGGAGUCGAGCAUUAAAUAAGAAUGCCAUAAGCACUCUGAAUAUGAAUUCGGAUACGCUGCAGGAGUCGCAAGGCAACACGGGUUGGUCGAAGAACGGUCCACUGAGCACGCUCCUAAGGAAUGUCUCCGAGUCGAUGAAGCUAAUUGAAAGGACGGGGUACGAGUGCUCAAAGGUUGCCACGCAACAGAAGGUCAAUGGCAACAUACUGCAAAGGCAUCUGCCUCAGAAGCAAAACGAGCAGCAAGUAUCGGCAAGAUCAAAUGCGUCACCAAGACCCGUGAGAGUCCAGGGAGGAUUAAAGCAAAAGCUGAUGGAUCUGAUGAAAUCCAAUAUCACGCAGAGGAAGCAAACGUUGUUUGGCUGCAAUGACUCGAGUCUGGUCAGCAAGUAUGCAAGGAUUUCGGAAAGCCGCUACGAGGGUUAUGCGUCCCAGAGCAAGCCCAAUUGGAGAGAUAGGAAAAUGGAGCCCCCAGUGGAGGGGGAGAAACCGACAUCCUACCGCCAGGAGAACGUUUGGAACAUAAAGAAAACCCCGCCGAAGGAAUAUACCACACUUCCUGAAUCCAGAUGGAUACGGGAGCAGCAAAGUCUCAAGGAGCAGCAGCGUCUCAAGGAGCAGCUAGCAGACUACAUCGACAUAGCCAGUAUCACGAAUAAAAUCAAAAGAAACGAUCGCAUAAUGCGAUGCAUACGAGGCGUGGAGCAUAACGCCCACCUCCCCGUUGACUUUAAGCCCCAGGUAUAUCGUCACGGUUAUCAUUGGAACUUGAAGCAGAGCGAAAUCAUUGCCAAAUACAAGGAUGACAAGAUACCCGAGAUGAUCAAGAUGCAACAGCAACAGAAGCGUAAGAAGGAGAUGUCCGAACGAAAGGAUCUACGCAAAGUCACGAAAAAGCAGCAGCUUCCUCAACGAACUGUAAGCGAAGUGAAGAUCAUAAACAAGGCCAAGAAAGUGAAGAAAAGUAUAAUGGAAUCCAGUUCCAAAGCUAAGUUAUCGAAAAGGUAUCCACGCAGAGGAUAAGGAGCAUUUCACAGGCCUUGAAGGACUGAACGGCCGUUCCUGGGAACUUUAGAGGGAAGAUCUUUUCCUCACUGACCAGACGAAGAACCGGGGGCUCGAGCUUUUCCAUCCUUAUAGAUAUUUUUAAUCGCAAAAUUUUAGUUCCUUAUGUAUUAGCGUUUUAGGUUUAAUAAACAAUUUUUGAAUUUU